rnacentral:rRNA from 1 species
GGCUUACUGCAGUCGAGCGGAUGAAGGUAGCUUGCUACCGGAUUCAGCGGCGGACGGGUGAGUAAUGCUUAGGAAUCUGCCUAUUAGUGGGGGACAACGUUCCGAAAGGAGCGCUAAUACCGCAUACGUCCUACGGGAGAAAGCAGGGGACCUUCGGGCCUUGCGCUAAUAGAUGAGCCUAAGUCGGAUUAGCUAGUUGGUAGGGUAAAGGCCUACCAAGGCGACGAUCUGUAGCGGGUCUGAGAGGAUGAUCCGCCACACUGGGACUGAGACACGGCCCAGACUCCUACGGGAGGCAGCAGUGGGGAAUAUUGGACAAUGGGGGGAACCCUGAUCCAGCCAUGCCGCGUGUGUGAAGAAGGCCUUUUGGUUGUAAAGCACUUUAAGCGAGGAGGAGGCUACCUAGAUUAAUACUUUAGGAUAGUGGACGUUACUCGCAGAAUAAGCACCGGCUAACUCUGUGCCAGCAGCCGCGGUAAUACAGAGGGUGCGAGCGUUAAUCGGAUUUACUGGGCGUAAAGCGUGCGUAGGCGGCCAAUUAAGUCAAAUGUGAAAUCCCCGAGCUUAACUUGGGAAUUGCAUUCGAUACUGGUUGGCUAGAGUAUGGGAGAGGAUGGUAGAAUUCCAGGUGUAGCGGUGAAAUGCGUAGAGAUCUGGAGGAAUACCGAUGGCGAAGGCAGCCAUCUGGCCUAAUACUGACGCUGAGGUACGAAAGCAUGGGGAGCAAACAGGAUUAGAUACCCUGGUAGUCCAUGCCGUAAACGAUGUCUACUAGCCGUUGGGGCCCUUGAGGCUUUAGUGGCGCAGCUAACGCGAUAAGUAGACCGCCUGGGGAGUACGGUCGCAAGACUAAAACUCAAAUGAAUUGACGGGGGCCCGCACAAGCGGUGGAGCAUGUGGUUUAAUUCGAUGCAACGCGAAGAACUUACCUGGGCCUUGACUACAGAAACUUUCCAAAUGGAUUGGGCCUUCGGUCGAUACGCUGCAUGGUGCGUCAGCUCGGUCGGAAUUGGGAGUCCCCAACGACUUCUUCUGGGUACUCUAGGGGACUCAGUCAUCAUGGGU